rnacentral:misc_RNA from 1 species
GAUGAAGAACGUAGCGAAAUGCGAUAAGUAAUGUGAAUUGCAGAAUUCAGUGAAUCAUCGAAUCUUUGAACGCACAUUGCGCCCCCUGGUAUUCCGGGGGGCAUGCCUGUUCGAGCGUCAUUUCACCACUCAAGCCUCGCUUGGUAUUGGGCAACGCGGUCCGCCGCGUGCCUCAAAUCGACCGGCUGGGUCUUCUGUCCCCUAAGCGUUGUGGAAACUAUUCGCUAAAGGGUGCUCGGAAGGCUACGCCGUAAAACAAACCCAUUUCUAAGGUUGACCUCGGAUCAGGUAGGGAUACCCGCUGAACUUAAGCAUAUCAAUAAGCGGAGGA